rnacentral:snoRNA from 8 species
ACGACUAUACUUUCAGGGAUCAUUUCUAUAGUUCGUUACGUGAGAAACGUGUGUCCAAAGUGGUACGUCUCGCUAUCCAUGAUGACGAUUCCAGAUAUUCCCGUUCAG